ACAAACUUGGUCAUUUAGAGGAAGUAAAAGUCGUAACAAGGUUUCCGUAGGUGAACCUGCGGAAGGAUCAUUAACGAAUCGUCAAACAUGGGUUGUCGCUGGUCCCAAAUGGGGCACGUGCACGCUCUGUUUACGCAUCCACUCACACCUGUGCACCCUCUGUAGUUCUAUGGUUUGGAAGGCUCCGUCUUCCUUCCGUGGCUCUACGUUCUUUACACACACGCUGUAGUGAUGUUUUGUGGAAUGUUUUCUGCGUUUAACGCAAUACAAUACAACUUUCAGCAACGGAUCUCUUGGCUCUCGCAUCAAUGAAGAACGCAGC
rnacentral:misc_RNA from 1 species